rnacentral:rRNA from 1 species
UACGUAGGGGGCAAGCGUUGUCCGGAUUUAUUGGGCGUAAAGAGCGUGUAGGCGGCUAGGUAGGUCCGUUGUGAAAACUCGAGGCUCAACCUCGAGACGUCGAUGGAAACCAUCUAGCUAGAGUCCGGAAGAGGAGAGUGGAAUUCCUGGUGUAGCGGUGAAAUGCGCAGAUAUCGGGAAGAACACCCGUGGCGAAGGCGGCUCUCUGGUACGUGACUGACGCUGAGACGCGAAAGCGUGGGGAGCGAACAGG